rnacentral:rRNA from 1 species
UACAGAGGGGGGCAAGCGUUGUUCGGAAUUACUGGGCGUAAAGGGCGCGUAGGCGGCCUGUUAAGUCGAACGUGAAAUCCCUGGGCUCAACCCAGGAACUGCGUCCGAUACUGGCAGGCUUGAAUCCGGGAGAGGGAUGUGGAAUUCCAGGUGUAGCGGUGAAAUGCGUAGAUAUCUGGAGGAACACCGGUGGCGAAGGCGGCAUCCUGGCCCGGUACUGACGCUGAGGUGCGAAAGCGUGGGGAGCAAACAGG